rnacentral:rRNA from 1 species
CGUCGGGUCUACACAUGCAGUCGAGCGGUAACACAGGGAGCUUGCUCCUGGGUGACGAGCGGCGGACGGGUGAGUAAUGUCUGGGAAACUGCCUGAUGGAGGGGGAUAACUACUGGAAACGGUAGCUAAUACCGCAUAAUGUCGCACGACCAAAGAGGGGGACCUUCGGGCCUCUUGCCAUCAGAUGUGCCCAGAUGGGAUUAGCUAGUAGGUGGGGUAAUGGCUCACCUAGGCGACGAUCCCUAGCUGGUCUGAGAGGAUGACCAGCCACACUGGAACUGAGACACGGUCCAGACUCCUACGGGAGGCAGCAGUGGGGAAUAUUGCACAAUGGGCGCAAGCCUGAUGCAGCCAUGCCGCGUGUAUGAAGAAGGCCUUCGGGUUGUAAAGUACUUUCAGCGAGGAGGAAGGCAUCAAGGUUAAUAACCUUGGUGAUUGACGUUACUCGCAGAAAAAACACCGGCUAACUCCGUGCCAGCAGCCGCGGUAAUACGGAGGGUGCAAGCGUUAAUCGGAAUUACUGGGCGUAAAGCGCACGCAGGCGGUCUGUCAAGUCGGAUGUGAAAUCCCCGGGCUCAACCUGGGAACUGCAUUCGAAACUGGCAGGCUAGAGUCUUGUAUAGGGGGGUAGAAUUCCAGGUGUAGCGGUGAAAUGCGUAUAGAUCUGGAGGAAUACCGGUGGCGAAAGCGGCCCCCUGGACACAGACUGACGCUCACGUGCGAAAGCGUGGGGAGCAACAGGAUUAGAUACCCUGGUAGUCCACGCCGUAAACGAUGUCUACUUGGAGGCUGUUCCCUGAGGAGUGGCUUCCGGAGCUAAGCGUUAGUCGACCCCUGGGGAGUACGGCCGCAAGGUUAAACUCAAUGAAUUGACGGGGGCCCGCACAAGCGGUGGAGAUGUGGUUUAUUCGAUGCGACGCGAAAACCUUACCUACUCUUGACACCCCAGAAUUUUCAGAGAUGCUUUGGUGCCUUCGGAACUCUGAGACAGUGCUGCAUGG